AUGACAACCACAGUUAUCCCCAGACAUGGCCUAGUGACCCCUGAGCACAAAAUCAUCCCAGGGGGCAGUGGAGCAGGCGUGUGGUCUGGCAGCAGCACGACUGGGGCCCACAAGGCGCCAGGGGCCUCGGACGAUGGCGCAGCCUGAGGCCUGCGGGUAGACGGGCUGCCCCUGCUGCCCAAGAGCCUGAGCCGGCUGCUGUACUGUGCGUCAGGCAGCUGCACCUGGAGCAGCUGUAAGCGCAGAAGUCGCGCAUCCAGGACGAGCUGAGCUGCGGGGGUGCGUGAGGCAGCGGGGCCGGGCUGCAGCGCUGUCAGCCAAGCCACCCAACCUGGACACCGCGCUGCUGCUGCUCCACAAGGAGACGGUUGGUCUCCGCCAGCUGGACAUGUCCUUGCUCUACCAACUGUACAGGCUCUACGAGUCGAUUCAGGAGUGCAAGUGGGCCUGCCAGGCAGCCUCCAGCCCAGACUGCACUUAUGCUCUGGAGAAUGGCUUCUUCAAUGAAGAGGAAGAAUAUUUCCAGGAGCAGAACUCCCUGCAUGACAGAAGGGACCGAGGCCCUUCUUGGGACUUGUCACUGCCUGCCUCCUCCCUCUCCAGCAGUGACUGGAAUCUGGAGUCCAUCUAGAGGGUCUUGGGAGGGAUGUGACUAUUGAG